CUUCUGUGAAGGCUUUUGCUUUUCAAUAAAAGGGACAGCUGUAGAUUGAUGCCAGUUCUUCCCCUUUCGUUCUGCCUCGAAUGUCUGGAGCUGUAGCAGCCAUCGUGUCAGCGUGAGGAUGAAAGGCCAAAGAAAAGGCUGGCAAGAACAGAAGUACGGAAGAUCAUAAGCUCUUGUUGGCAACGUUGAGCUGCUGAGCUAACUGGAAUAAAUGCCUCCCUCUAGACUUCUUGAGAAAAAUACAUUCAUAUUGAUUUAAACGACUGCUAGUUGAGUUAUCUGUUGUAGCUGAAAGUAUUCCUGACUGAUAGAUUCUUCUUCCUCUUAGCAAGGAUGCGACUGGACUGCUGAUGAAGUGGUCAAUCUACAAGAUUAGAUAAUUCACAAAUAGACUUUUAAGUCUUCCAUAUCCCCUCUUGAAGCUGAAAUUUCCAUAAGAACAAACAACGCUGCCUUUCUCUGGGGCAGAGGGGAGCUUUCUAGGAGUCUAAGAAGAGGGGCUGGUGGUGUGAGCAGGAGAUACCUGUGACCCUCCAUCUUCAGAGCCCAAUCAGGGGGUCAGUGGAGAAUGGGGGAUCUCUGAGAGCACGGCUGAGAAUUAGAGGAAACGUUCGAACAGUCAGCGGCAUGGUGACCAGCCCUGAGGUCAUGACGGCCAUGCCUGACCAGAGAGGAGGUGCUGCUGGGCAAGUGGAUGAGAGACAGAAAAAGUAGAGAACAGAGUUGGUCCCUGGGACCAGGAGAACAGUGUUGGGGAAAUGACACCCAAAUGAGGCGACUCAGGGAGAAACGAGUUUUCCAAGUGAUGGCCUCAAGCACUGCUGUGUUCGAUGCCCAUCUUCUGGUCUGCAAAGUGUGGGAGACAGAGGAUUGAGGUUGGCUGUAAGAACCAGGGAUCAAAUGGACAAUGUGUAAUUUAAAAAUGUUUACCCUCUCUGCUUGCUGUGAGCCUCCACCCAUUUCUCGCUGAUCCACACAGCCAGUGAGCGCUGGGUUCCCACUCUGCAUGAAGGGCCGCACCAGGUACUGGUGAUGGUGCAGGGAGAACAUUCCCGUCUCUGAGGAACCCAGGCUAGUCAUGGAGAAAUAGGAAGAGCAUAAACUCAGAGGACGCAGCUACUUCUCUCCAUGAAUAGGCUGUCUCCCAGGCACAGAAUUCCAGGAACCAGCAGGGCCUUUCAAGGUUGGUUUCAAGGGAAGAGUGUGUCCCUUGCAGGGUGGCUGGAGCCAGCUCCAAGAGCCUGAAAAAUCAUCUUGGCACCAAGUCUGAUGCAACUCUGGACCCAACAGGAAUCUUGGAGGAUUUGCCACAACCUUAGUCAUUCACCUUCAAAUCAUCCACACUGAUUCAGCCUCUCCUUCACUGAACAAGUAUUUAUUGAGCACCUACUAUGUGUAACCUUCUAGGCAAUAUAACUUUUUGGAUACAGCAGAUUAAACAAAGAUCACUGCAAUCACUAAAUGAAUAUCUUGAGAGGUGGAUUGUAAAAGAGACUUCUGUACUAUUUUAUGUGUACAUAGAAUCAAGUGGGUAUAGAACUUUGGUGUUGGAUGGACCUGAGUUUAAACACACUCUGUUCUGUGAUCUUGGUUAUUUGAAUUUCUCUGAGCCUCAGUUUCCUCAAUCCUUAGGUGGAAAUAAAAAUUCCUACCUUAUCCAGAAUCAGUUAAAUAUAGAGUUAGCCAUAUGACCAGCAAGUUCAUGCCUAAAUUACAUAACUGAGGGAAAUAAAAACAUAUUUUUUAUCUUUCACACAAAAACUAGUAUCUGAAUGUUCACAGCUGCAGUAUCCAUAAUAGCCAAAAAGUAGAAACAACUAAAAUGUCUGUCAACCAAACAGUAAGUAAACAAAAUGUUUUAUAUCAUACAAUGGAAUAUUACUCAGCAAUAAAAAGGAAUGAACUGAUACAUGCUUCAACAUGGAGGAACCUUGAAAACAUUAUGCCACAUGAAAGAAGCCAGAUCUCAUAUUGUAUGUUUCCAUUUAUGUGAAACGUUUAGAAUAGGCAAAUCCAUAGAGACAGAAAGUAGAUGAGUCGUUGCCUCAGGCUGGGGGAAAUGAGGAAUUAGGGUGUGAUAGUUAAGAGGUGUGAGAUUUCUUUUCAGGGUGAUGGAAAUGUUUUAAAAUUGAUGAUGAUGGAUGCACAACUCUGUGAAUAUACUGAAAGCUACCGAAUUGUACACUUUAAAUGAGUGAGUUUUACAGUAUAUAAAUUAUAUAUCAUAAAGUUGUAAAAAGAAAAAAAUCUUACCACGUAGGGCUCUUUCAGGAUUAAAUGAGCUAAGAAUACAAUGCACCUAGCCUGGUGUCUGGUAUUGGCACUUGGUACACAUUCAAUAGAUGCUUUUUUUUUUUUU
rnacentral:lncRNA from 1 species